rnacentral:misc_RNA from 1 species
AAGUCGUAACAAGGUCUCCGUUGGUGAACCAGCGGAGGGAUCAUUACAGGACUCGCAAGACUCCUACAACCCUGUGAACCUACUAUACGAACGUUGCUUCGGCGGGUGCGCCCCGGGGAUUCGUUCCCGCGGCGCGUCAGCCCGCCGGCAGCCUACAAAUUCUGUUUCUUUGCGUUGGCAUCUCGAGAAAAACAAAAUAAGUUAAAACUUUCAACAACGGAUCUCUUGGUUCUG